UGUCACCGUAGGCAAUGUGCUAUCAGGGGGUUAUUUUCGAAACACCUCAAAUGACUAUUUCAGUUGUCCACACUUGCUGUGGACACAGGAUGUUAGGGAGGCUGUUUCUUCUGCCGGACUAGUUUUAGGAACUUAUAGUAAUUUCAAACUUAAAAGGAAAGAACGAUCGUUUGCGUUCAAGGUCUAAAGAAUUGGAAUUUCCGGGUCUUUAUUGUAUUUUAUCCUUUUGACUCAAAGCUCAGAUUCAACUCCUUACUCCGAUCCAAACCAAACGAGAAACAACUCCCUAAGACUGUGAGAACUACUAGAGCCUGGACCAUUCAGCACUAUUCCUGUGUUCAUCGACAGUUAUUGGGGACAACCGUAGGAUGAUUAAGGCAGACAUAAAGAAAAAGAUAUUUGGGGAAACUGCCUUCAAAUGUGGAGAGUCCCCUUCUUCCUCCACUUGCUCACCUUCACUCAUUUUUUUAAGUGCUCUUCCUCCUUGCCUCAAAAUCUUUGGCACAGUAGCUUUGAAGAAGUGGAAGAACAGUGAGCUUGGGUUCUAGUCUACACUCUCACAUCCUGGCUGUGUAAACUUGGAUUCCACAUAUAGGGGGAGACCUUCAAGAUGGCGAGGAGUAAGAAGUGGAGAUCACCUUCCUCCCCACAAAUACAUCAGAAAUACAUCUACAUGUAGAACAACUCCUACAGAACACCUACUGAACACUGACAGAAGACCUCAGACUUCCCAAAAGGCAAGAAACUCCCCACAUACGUGGGUAGGGCAAAAGAAAAAAGAGAAAAAAACAGAGACAAAAGAAUAGGGAUGGGACCUGCACCUCUGGGAGGGAGCUGUGAAGGAGGAAAAGCUUCCACACAUUAGGGAGCCCCUUCACUGGCAGAGAUGGGGGCGGCGGCGGGGGAAGCUUCGGAGCCAUGGAGGAGAGUGCAGCAACAGGGGUGCAGAGAGCAAAGCAGAGAGGUUCCUGCACAGAGGAUCGGUGCCAAACAGCACUCACCAGCCCAAGAGGCUUGUCUGCUUACCUGCCGGGGUGGGUGGGGGCUGGGACCUGAGGCUCUGGCUUCUUUGGAGGUGAGAUCCCAGGGAGAGUACUGCAGUUGGCUGAGUGAACACAGCCUGAAGGGGGCUAGUGCACCAUUGCUAGCUGGGAGGGAGUCUGGGAAAAAGUAUGGACCUGCCUAAGAGGCAAGAGACCAUUGUCUCAGGGUGCGUGAGAAGAGGGGAUUCAGAGCACCACCUGAAUGAGCUCCAGAGACGGGCGUGAGCCACGGCUAUCAGCAUGGACAUGAGAGACGGGCAUGAAAUGCUAAGGCUGCUGCUGCAGCCACCAAGAAGCCUGUGUGCAAGCACAGUUCACUGUCCAGAUCUCCCUUCCCAGGAACCUGUGCAGCCCGCCACUGCCAGGGUCCCGUGAUCCAGGGACAACAUCCCUGGGAGGACAAACGAAGCACCUCAGGCUCUUGUAAUGUCACGCUGGCCUCUGCAGCUGCAGGCUCAUCCCGCAUUCCGUACCCCUCCCUCCCCCCGGCCUGAGUGAGCCAGAGCCCCCUAAUCAGCUGCUUCCUUAACCCCGUCCUGGUCCUGUCUGAACGAAGAACAGACUCCCUCAGGCAACCUAUAUGCAGAGGUGGGGCCAAAUCAAAGCUGAACCCCAGAAGCUGUGCGAACAAAGAAGAGAAAAGGAAAUCUCUCCCAGCAGCCUCAGGAGCAGCAGAUUAAAUGUCCACAAUUAAUUUCAUCUACCCUGCAUCUCUGGAAUACCUGAAUAGACAGUGAAUCAUCCCAAAAUUGAGGUGGUGAACUUUGGGAACAAUGAUAUAUAAUUUUUUCCCCUUUUCUCUUUUUCUGAGUGUGUAUGUGUAUGCUUCCUUGUGUGAUUUUGUCUGAAUAGCUUCGCUUUUACCAUUUGUCCUAGGCUUCUGUCUGUCCAUUUUUUUUUAGUAUAGUUUUUAGCAUUUGUUAUCAUUGGUGGAUUUAUUUGGU